rnacentral:lncRNA from 1 species
UUUUUAUUGAUAUUUUGUAAAUUGUAGCAUAUAAAAGGCUUCAAAAUUAUUACUUGUUAAGACAUGUAGGCAAGGGAUGAGGUCAUGAGGAACUAAUAUGCAACAAAUAGUGGCCACAAGUCGUAUUUUGUUGAUGUCAAAACUUCACAAAGUUGUUCACCAAUAACUGCCAUACAGCGUAUUUAAUAUUAUUAUUAAAGAUGCUGUAAAGUCCGUAAUGCAC